CAGUUGCAGAGAAAUAUUUUUACUGUACUAUAUAAUACAGAUAUUUUUUCUUUAUUUAUACUGCUAACAUCAUUAUUAUUUCAACUGCUAUGUAUGUGUUCAUGGGUGUGUGUGUAUAUAUAUAGACUGUUAGACAUUUACAUUAUACAAUUGAUCUGCAAGCACAAAAGCACAUGGGUCAACACUUGAGUCCUUUACCCUGGUGUGUAAUAUAUACAGGCAGGGGCUGUAACAUUUACCCAGGUUGUUGAUAUUCUUGUUUAACCAAGUGUGUUUAUUUAAGAUUAUAUAUUGUUUAGGAUCUCUCCUGGACAGGCUCCUUCUGUGUUUCUUAAGUAAACAGUAAAAAAUAAAUAAUAAGCUCAUCCUUGUUUUAUUUGUUGAUCCAAGCCAACGUAUACAGGUGACGUCACAUUCAGAUCUCCUCAUUUGUAUUCUGCUCCAAACUUGUUAUCCAUAUUUUAAAUUUCUAUUAUUAAGUAUAAUAAAGGAAAAGGAAUAAAUCUGUUGGUUAUUAAUGUUCAUUUUGAG
rnacentral:lncRNA from 1 species